rnacentral:lncRNA from 1 species
CCGUAGGAGCUUAGACGAAGUCUACCUGCAAUAGGAGUUCGGGGCUGAAGUCCGACUCCCGUAGGAGCUCGGACGAAGUCUACCUGUAGUAGGAGUUUGCGGCCGAAGUCUGACUCCUGUAGGAGCUCGGACGAAGUCUACCUGCAGUAGGAGUUCGAGGUCGAUGUCCGACUCCCGUAGGAGCUUGGACGAAGUCUACCUGUAGUAGGAGUUCGGGGAAGAAGUCC